rnacentral:rRNA from 1 species
UUAGGAGUUUGAUCCUGGCUCAGGACGAACGCUGGCGGCGUGCMUAAUACAUGCAAGUCGAGCGCUUGGGGUGUUCCCUUACGGGAAACCCCCUGGAGCGGCGGACGGGUGAGUAACACGUAGGCAACCUGCCUGUAAGAUCGGGAUAACUACCGGAAACGGUAGCUAAGACCGGAUAGCUGGUUUCUCCGCAUGGGGGRAUCAUGAAACAUGGGGCAACCUGUGGCUUACGGAUGGGCCUGCGGCGCAUUAGCUAGUUGGUGGGGUAAUGGCCCACCAAGGCGACGAUGCGUAGCCGACCUGAGAGGGUGAUCGGCCACACUGGGACUGAGACACGGCCCANACUCCUACGGGAGGCAGCANUANGGAAUCUUCCGCAAUGGGCGCAAGCCUGACNGAGCAACGCCGCGUGAGUGAUGAAAGUUUUCGGAUCGUAAAGCUCUGUUGCCNANGAAAAAACACCUCNGANAAUAACUGCUCUGAAGGUGACNGUACUUGAAAAAGAAANCCCC